rnacentral:rRNA from 1 species
CCUACGGGUGACAGCAGUGGGGAAUAUUGGUCAAUGGACGGAAGUCUGAAGCAGCGAUGCCGCGUGCAGGAAGACGGAUCUGUGAGUGGUAAACUGCUUUUGUACAAGAGUAAACCUGAAUACGUGUAUUAAACGGAAAGUACUGUACGAAUAAGGAACGGCUAACUCCGUGCCAGGAGCCGCGGUAAUACGGAGGAUCCAAGCGUUAUCCGGAUUUAUGGGGUGUAAAGGGUGCGUAGGCGGAUUGAUAAGUUAGAGGUGAAAUGUCCGAGCUUAACUCGGGAACUGCCUUUAAUACUGUUGAUCUAGAGAGUAGGUGCGGUAGGCGGAAUGUAUGGUGUAGCGGUGAAAUGCUUAGAGAUCAUACAGAACACCGAUUGCGAAGGCAGCUUACCAAUCUAUAUCUGACGUUGAGGCACGAAAGCGUGGGGAGCAAACAGGAUUAGAUACCCCAGUAGUC